rnacentral:rRNA from 1 species
GAUGAACGCUGGCGGCGUGCCUAAUACAUGCAAGUCGAGCGAACAGACGAGGAGCUUGCUCCUCUGACGUUAGCGGCGGACGGGUGAGUAACACGUGGAUAACCUACCUAUAAGACUGGGAUAACUUCGGGAAACCGGAGCUAAUACCGGAUAAUAUAUUGAACCGCAUGGUUCAAUAGUGAAAGACGGUUUUGCUGUCACUUAUAGAUGGAUCCGCGCCGCAUUAGCUAGUUGGUAAGGUAACGGCUUACCAAGGCAACGAGGCGUAGCCGACCUGAGAGGGUGAUCGGCCACACUGGAACUGAGACACGGUCCAGACUCCUACGGGAGGCAGCAGUAGGGAAUCUUCCGCAAUGGGCGAAAGCAUGACGGAGCAACGCCGCGUGAGUGAUGAAGGUCUUCGGAUCGUAAAACUCUGUUAUUAGGGAAGAACAAAUGUGUAAGUAACUAUGCACGUCUUGACGGUACCUAAUCAGAAAGCCACGGCUAACUACGUG